GCCAUUUUGCUGCUCAUCAUAUUGGUGUGUGUCUGCAGUCAUUUGGCCCUGAUCAGGCAAUUGGUCAGUGCGUGCAGAGGCCUAACACAGGUGGCUAACAUCAUUGUUGCUAAAAGCAACAAAUGGUGCCCCAUGUGAGGAAUGCAUGAGGCACGGACUGUGUUCUGAUGCUCUCUGUGCUGCUGCGAGCUGUGGGGUGACACCAUAGCACGAGAUUUGGGGUGAUGCCCAGCCCGAGUGCCCUGAAGAGAGGGGAGCCUGCAGAAGACGAUUGGGGUGACGCCCUGCAGAAGAUCAUGGUGACGACGAUAGUGCCGGCCGGCAAGUAGAACCUGUGUUGCGGUGGGGUCCGGGGGGACGACGGGACGCCCAUGGAGGACCCGUGUGGACGACGGUGUAGAGUGUGAAUUUGCGGUGACGGCGACGGGCUGACUAUGGAACAUGUUCUUAAGGUACUGCUUCAGUUUUGUAAAGACUAUUGCGAAAAGAAUGCUCCUUCUAAGAAGGAUAUCCACGAAGUUAUUUCCCAGUUAGAGCAGGAGGGGGAGAUUAAAGCCCCCCAGGAGAUCUUUGAUCACCAGAGAUGGGAUGAUCUCACCUCCGCACUUGCGCAGUAUGUUAUGAACUCUCAGAAGGGUGGUUCGGAGUUAAAAACUUGGGGACUGAUACUAGGAGCACUGAAAGCUGUGAGGGAGGAGGGAAAGGUGUGGGAGGAAGCCCGGCGGCUCUGGGGUCCUGAUCAGACGGACCCCAGAGGGGAUUCGCAGGGGGUCAGCUUGGAUGUGAAACAUGGGUGCCGGCCGGGAGUUAGCCUUUCUUGCAGGAAUUCAGACGAGGAGCGAUCGACAAAGAUGGCGCCGGGUGAUCCGAACACACCCGGACAAACAACGGGGGACAAACAACAAGAUGGCGGGCUCCAGCCGUCAGCACCCUUAUCGGGUGAAGACACCUUAUCGCAAGGACUGGAAUCCCCGCCCACCCCUCUGAUCACCUGAGAGGUUCCCACAGGCCACUCUUUAGGCCAGUCCUCCUCAGAUAUCACCGUGACAUCUGCCCCUGAGUCAAUAAAUGCUGUAAUCGAGACAGAUCGACGACCCGAAAAAUCAGGCAGCAGGUUAACACACGACAUGAACGCUUUAACAAAUGGGCGGUUUUGACAGUCUAAAGCUAGUGCCACGGUGGGCAUGUCAGGAACUUCAAGUUGGGAGCUGGCAUGACUGGCAGGCUGGACGUAGGUGUCAUUGACGGCCCAUCCCGUGAGCUCUGGGAGGGGCCCUGGGCCUGAGGCACCCUCUCCCAAUCGUUUCCCUGCUGCUGAACUCUAACACUUCUACACUGGCGGGCAGUAUGCCCUCCCUUGCCACACAGUUGACAUAUGACUCUACCCCUUUCCCCGUAUCUCAUGGUUCUGCACUGGGGUCUAAUGUGUGUCUGCAGUCAUUUGGCCCUGAUCAGGCUAUUGGUCAGUGCGUGCAGAGGCCUAACACAGGUGGCUAACAUCUGAAAGCAACACAACAACAAGUCAUACUGACAGCUGCAGCUACCAAAACCAUCCCAAUCGGGAUACAGAUAAUGUAAGCUCCUCACAGUUCCUUAUCCACCUAUUAUACAGUGAGAGGGUGAGGUUAAAAGGACCAUUCAGUCUCAAGGGCUUGUACAAUCCUUGAUUUCUACAGAAUAUUGCCAAAAGGUACUAGAAGAUUUAUUGUUUUUUGCAGUGUGAACACUGAAUUAAAAAAAAAAAAAAAAAGUUUUAAAUCAUCAAUUUAUUUCCUGCUUGCUUCCCAAACUAGUGACUAAUACUAACUGUUACCAAGGAGUAUUUUGGAUAUAAACAGUUUAAAAAAAUGAGUAAUUAGACAAAAACAUAUCAUUUUUCUCUACUUUCUUCAUACAUAAAUACUUGAAAAUAAAUGAAU
ensembl:lncRNA